rnacentral:rRNA from 1 species
GACGAACGCUGGCGGCGUGCUUAAUACAUGCAAGUCGAACGGAAAGGCCCUGCUUUUGUGGGGUGCUCGAGUGGCGAACGGGUGAGUAACACGUGAGUAACCUGCCCUUGACUUUGGGAUAACUUCAGGAAACUGGGGCUAAUACCGGAUAGGAGCUCCUGCUGCAUGGUGGGGGUUGGAAAGUUUCGGCGGUUGGGGAUGGACUCGCGGCUUAUCAGCUUGUUGGUGGGGUAGUGGCUUACCAAGGCUUUGACGGGUAGCCGGCCUGAGAGGGUGACCGGCCACAUUGGGACUGAGAUACGGCCCUGACUCCUACGGGAGGCAGCAGUGGGGAAUAUUGCACAAUGGGCGGAAGCCUGAUGCAGCAACGCCGCGUGCGGGAUGACGGCCUUCGGGUUGUAAACCGCUUUCGCCUGUGACGAAGCGUGAGUGACGGUAAUGGGUAAAGAAGCACCGGCUAACUACGUGCCAGCAGCCGCGGUGAUACGUAGGGUGCGAGCGUUGUCCGGAUUUAUUGGGCGUAAAGGGCUCGUAGGUGGUUGAUCGCGUCGGAAGUGUAAUCUUGGGGCUUAACCCUGAGCGUGCUUUCGAUACGGGUUGACUUGAGGAAGGUAGGGGAGAAUGGAAUUCCUGGUGGAGCGGUGGAAUGCGCAGAUAUCAGGAGGAACACCAGUGGCGAAGGCGGUUCUCUGGGCCUUUCCUGACGCUGAGGAGCGAAAGCGUGGGGAGCGAACAGGCUUAGAUACCCUGGUAGUCCACGCUGUAAACGGUGGGUACUAGGUGUGGGGUCCAUUCCACGGGUUCCGUGCCGUAGCUAACGCUUUAAGUACCCCGCCUGGGGAGUACGGCCGCAAGGCUAAAACUCAAAGGAAUUGACGGGGCCCCGCACAAGCGGCGGAGCAUGCGGAUUAAUUCGAUGCAACGCGUAGAACCUUACCUGGGUUUGACAUGGAUCGGGAGUGCUCAGAGAUGGGUGUGCCUCUUUUGGGGUCGGUUCACAGGUGGUGCAUGGCUGUCGUCAGCUCGUGUCGUGAGAUGUUGGGUUAAGUCCCGCAACGAGCGCAACCCUUGUUCACUGUUGCCAGCACGUUAUGGUGGGGACUCAGUGGAGACCGCCGGGGUCAACUCGGAGGAAGGUGGGGAUGACGUCAAGUCAUCAUGCCCCUUAUGUCCAGGGCUUCACGCAUGCUACAAUGGCUGGUACAGAGAGUGGCGAGCCUGUGAGGGUGAGCGAAUCUCGGAAAGCCGGUCUCAGUUCGGAUUGGGGUCUGCAACUCGACCUCAUGAAGUCGGAGUCGCUAGUAAUCGCAGAUCAGCAACGCUGCGGUGAAUACGUUCCCGGG